rnacentral:rRNA from 1 species
AGAGUUUGAUCCUGGCUCAGGACGAACGCUGGCGGCGUGCCUAACACAUGCAAGUUGAGCGACGAACCAGGGCUUGCCCUGGGGCAAAGCAGCGAACGGGUGAGUAACACGUGGGUAACCUGCCCCGAUAACCGGGACAACCCGAGGAAACUCGGGCUAAGUACCGGAUGUGCUCGCUGGACCCAAGUCCAGCGCGUAAAGGAAGCUUCGGCCUCCGUAUCGGGAGGGGCUCGCGGCCCAUUAGCUAGUUGGUGAGGUAACGGCUCACCAAGGCAUCGAUGGGUAGCUGGUCUGAGAGGACGAUCAGCCACACUGGGACUGAGACACGGCCCAGACUCCUACGGGAGGCAGCAGGUGGGGAAUCUUGCGCAAUGCGCGAAAGCGUGACGCAGCAACGCCGCGUGGGGGAAGACUNGCCUUCGGGUUGUAAACCCCUUUCACGAUGGACGUAGGUGUGGCGGUGAACAGCCGACCGCACUGAUCGUACCUCCACAAGAAGCACCGGCUAACUACGUGCCAGCAGCCGCAGUACUACGUAUGGGGCUAGCGUNGUCCGGAAUCAUCGGGCGUAAAGCGCACGUAUGCUGCCCCGUAAGUACGCUCUGANAGUCACGGCUCAAGCCUGGAAAGCAGGUGGAUACUGCCGGCUAGAAUCCGGAGAAGGCUAGUGAAUUNCUGGUGUACCGGUGAAUCUCCAAUAUGGGAGGACCUCCUUACCAAGCACUCCUUGGACGG